rnacentral:lncRNA from 1 species
AUGAGCAUAUCGAACAACACCUCAUAUACCAAUAGGAGAAUCGCCAUUCAACCUAGCCUAUGAAAUGGAGGUGAUUCCACUUGAGAUUGGAUUACCAUCAGUAAGAGUGAAACAAUAUAAUGAGUCGAGCAAUUCUGAAUGUUGGAAAGCCAACCUAGACUUACUUUUGAAAGUUCGACAGCAAGCUCAAGUUUGGAUGACAGUAUAUCGACAGAGAGUAGUCCGAUAUUACAAUGCA